AUUGAACGCUGGCGGCAGGCCUAACACAUGCAAGUCGAACGAGUGGCGGACGGGUGAGUAAUUUCUGGGAAACUGCCUGAUGGACGGGGAUAACUACUGGAAACGGUAGCUAAUACCGCAUACCAUCAGAUGUGCCCAGAUGGGAUUAGCUGGUUGGUGGGGUAACGGCGCACCAAGGCGACGAUCCCUAGCUGGCCGGAGAGGAUGACCAGCCACACUGGAACGGAGACACGGUCCAGAAUCCUACGGGAGGCAGCAGUGGGGAAUAUUGCACAAUGGGCGCAAGCCUGAUGCAGACAUGCCGCGUGUGUGAAGAAGGCAUUCGGGUUGUAAAGUACUUUCAUCGGGGAGGCGUUACCCGCAGAAGAAGCACCGGCUAACUCCGUGCCAGCAGCCGCGGUAAUAC
rnacentral:rRNA from 1 species